UCGCGCCACUGCACUCCAGCCUGGGCGACAGAGCGAGACUCCAUCUGAAAAAAAAAAGAAGGGCACUGUGAUGAAACAAGGGGCUGGUGUUGAUAGUGGUGAUGGUGGUGGGGUAACGGGCCCAGGGCCUAAGGAUAUGAUGCCCCCUGGGAUUGCUGAUGAGGUGGUGGCCUAUGUCAGUAUCCUCUGUGCGAGUGUAGUGACCAGCAGACUCUAGAUGUGCUCCCUCAGUUAUCCACAGUUGGCAUGGGCAUUUGGAAAGGAGACGGGAGGAGAUUUGCAACAUUACGACAAAUGCUGAACAUAUCUGAAUUCUAAUUGUGAAGCACUAAUGUUGUGCAUUAGUGCUUAGCCUUGGGAAAUUCUUACUUUGGGUGCCAAAUUAAACUAA
rnacentral:lncRNA from 1 species